rnacentral:rRNA from 1 species
GAUGAACGCUGGCGGCGUGCUUAAUACAUGCAAGUCGAACGGAAAGGCCCUGCUUUUGCUGGGUGCUCGAGUGGCGCACGGGUGUGUAACACGUGUGUAAAAUGCCCUUGUCUUUGGGAUAUCUUCAGGGAAAUGGGGCUCAUACAGGAUAUGAGAUCCUGAAGCGUGGUGGUGGAUGGAGAGUUUCGGCGGUGGGGGAUGGUAUCGCUGCUUAUCCGCUUGUUGGUGGGGUAGUGGCUUACCAAGGCUUUGAAGGGUAGCCGGCCUGGGAGGGUGACCGGCCACAUUGGGACUGAGAUACGGCCCAGACUCCUACGGGAGGCAGCAGUGGGGAAUAUUGCACAAUGGGCGGAAGCCUGAGGCAGCAACGCCGCGUGCGUGAUGACGGCCUUCGGGUUGUAAACCGCUUUGUCCGGUGACGAGGCGGGAUUGACGGUAAUGAGUAAAGAAGCACCGGCUAACUACGUG